GGUAUGUAAAGCUCUAUCAGCAGGGAAGAUAAUGACGGUACCUGACUAAGAAGCACCGGCUAAAUACGUGCCAGCAGCCGCGGUAAUACGUAUGGUGCAAGCGUUAUCCGGAUUUACUGGGUGUAAAGGGAGCGCAGGCGGUGCGGCAAGUCUGAUGUGAAAGCCCGGGGCUCAACCCCGGUACUGCAUUGGAAACUGUCGUACUAGAGUGUCGGAGGGGUAAGCGGAACUCCUAGUGUAGCGGUGAAAUGCGUAGAUAUUAGGAGGAACACCAGUGGCGAAGGCGGCUUACUGGACGAUAACUGACGCUGAGGCUCGAAAGCGUGGGGAGCAAACAGGAUUAGAUACCCUGGUAGUCCACGCCGUAAA
rnacentral:rRNA from 1 species